CCACUUUGUAGCCAAAAGAGAAAUCGAGGAAGAAUUAGUAUCGAGAUGAUCAACCAACAUCUUUAUCUUCUUGUUGAAUCAAGCUCUUGAGUGUUGUUCUUAUAUUCUUUACCUGUUGUGGAAUGCAAGUUUCUUGAACAGAAUAAAGUGUAGUUUGAGAUUCUUGCUUGGUACUUUAGGUUGGUGUUCUUUUUAAGUUAGUCUAGUUUUGUUUCAGUGAAGUCAGUUUUGUACUAGAGUUUUCCAUUGUUGUUCCACUUAUUAUAGAUGAAUAUAAAAUAUGCAUGAGAAUGGAGUGAAAUGCAAAAUAGAAAGGAUUUGCAUGUUGGUAUGCAAUCGGAGUCCAUUGAAUUCUGAGUUUUGCGUUGUCUUGGAGAUAGAACAAGUGCAAAGCUGUGGCAAGAAAUAAUUUUCAUAUACAAAAUGGACUCAAGAAUAUUCGAUUCAUCCGGAGCAAGUCAUGUUUCAUCUCAUGCAUUCAGUGAUAGCAUUAUGACACCUUUUCAUGCCUUUAUGAAAGGAAAGGCAAUACAAAUUGAAGCACCUUCACCAGGUGGCGUAAUAGAAGAUGUCAAGGUUGACAUGGAAUUUAUAGAAGAUUUUGAUGCUUUGGAUGAUGAAGUUGAUGUACGUUUUGGUAUGAAGGAACAACAAAAGUAACAACUCUUGUUAUUCCAUCCACCAAGAGAGAAAAGCUAUUUGGGACUGCUUUCCAAAGAAGUGGUGUGUUGGUCGGGAAUCAAAUAUGUUGUACACAAGAAUUGCAAGAAGAGGUUGAAAUUGUAAAAGACUAGGGUUGCUACCCAUUUAACAUGACAUAUUUCUCAAUGUUUUGAAAGGAGGAUGCAUUGGAGAAAGAAGUUGUCCAAAAGGGACAAGCAGUGCUAGUGUUUAAGCCUUCCAACAUAGAGAUUCCUAACUCUUUAUCUAGCGGCCAUGUGUUGAAGAUGAACUCGAAAUAUUAGCACAACAAGGUAAAACUACAUUAACUUGAUGCUUACAUUAAUAUAUUUAUGUACAUAAUUGUAUUAGUGGAUUCAAUGAAUGUGGUGUUGGUGUUGUAGGUUCAAUAAGUCUUAGCUCACAUGAUUGUUAUUGAUGAACAUCCAUUUUAAUAUAGAUGCUUUUUUGUGACGUUGAAUGUCAAAGAUUGAAAUUUUUUUUGAA